AUCCUGUAACUUAUAACCAAGCAUUGACAAGUCGUGAUGCAGAUAAUUGGAUAGCUGCCAUGGAAGAUGUAAUGAAUUCCAUGGAAAGGAAUAAAGUUUGGGAUCUUGUUGAACUUCCUCCAGAUGCUAAGGCUGUAGAUAACAAGUGGAUUUUCAAAAGUAAAUUAGAUUCAAAAGGAAAUGUUGAGCGAAAGAAAGCGAGAUUAGUUGCAAAAGGUUUCACUCAACGAGAAGGCAUUGAUUAUGUUGAAACCUUCUCCCCUGUUUCGUCGAAAGAUUCUUUUCGAAGUAUCAUGGCUCUUGUGGCACACUAUAAUUUGGAGCUUCAUCAAAUGGAUGUUAAGACAGCAUUUUUGAAUGGAGAUCUUUCUGAAAUGGUUUAUAUGAAACAACCUGAAGGUUUUGUUGUAAAAGGAAAAGAAAACUUGGUGUGUAAGUUAAACAAAUCCUUAUAUGGUCUCAAGCAAGCAUCUCGGCAGUGGUAUUUGAAGUUUGAUGAGGUUGUGACAUCUCUUGGUUUUGUUGAAAAUACUAUUGAUCAAUGCAUUUAUCUUAAAACCAGUGGAAGAAAUUUCAUUUUCCUUGUACUGUAUGUUGAUGACAUUCUGCUUGCUAGCAGUAACUUAGGGUUGCUUCAUGAGACAAAGAAAAUGUUGUCUACUAAUUUUGAGAUGAAAGAUCUUGGAGAAGCUUCCUAUGUACUUGGCAUUGAAAUACAUCGUGAUAGAAAUCGUGGUUUAUUGGGACUUUCUCAGAAAUCUAAUAUACGACGUGUUCUAGAAAGGUUUAAUAUGCAGAAUUGUGCACCUGGUGAUGUACCUAUCAUAAAAGGAGAUAAGUUUAACAAAACUCAAUGUCCAAGGAAUGAGUUGGAAAGGGAGUCUAUGAAAAUGAUCCCAUAUGCUAGUGCUGUGGGGAGCUUGAUGUAUGCUCAAGUUUGCACUAGACCGGAUAUAGCCUACGCAGUAAGUGUCCUUAGCAGAUUUCAGUCUAAUCCAGGACAAGAGCAUUGGAAAGCAGCUAAGAAAGUUAUGAGAUAUUUGAAGAAAACUGAAAGUUAUAUGCUUACA
rnacentral:lncRNA from 1 species